rnacentral:rRNA from 1 species
CGAAGGAUCCUAGCGUUGUCCGGAUUUACUGGGUUUAAAGGGUGCGUAGGUGGACUAUUAAGUCAGUGGUGAAAGCUUGCAGCUUAACUGUAAAAUUGCCAUUGAAACUGAUAGUCUCGAGUACGGUUGAGGUAGCUGGAAUGUAUCAUGUAGCGGUGAAAUGCUUAGAUAUGAUACAGAACACCAAUUGCGAAGGCAGGCUACUAAACCGUAACUGACACUGAGGCACGAAAGCGUGGGGAUCAAACAGGAUUAGAUACCCUGGUAGUCCACGCCCUAAACUUUGCAUACUCGGCCUUAGCGAUAUACUGUUAGGACCCAAGCGAAAGCGUUAAGUACGCCACCUGGGAAGUACGAUCGCAAGAUUG